rnacentral:tRNA from 1 species
AGUUAACGUAGCAAAAUACGGUCUCGCAGAAGGUCUAAGCCCUUUCUAUAGAGGUUCAAAUCCUCUCAUUAACUA